rnacentral:tRNA from 1 species
GGAGAGGUGGCCGAGUGGCUUAAGGCGCUCGCUUGGAAAGCGUGUAUACGGGAAACCGUAUCGUGGGUUCGAAUCCCACCCUCUCCGCCA